CGCCGAGCCCUAACCGCCGACCCGGCGGUUCCUUCCUCUUCUCCGAGGCCGAAGCCUUAAACCCCUCGGCUCCUCCUUUUCUUCUUCUCCUCAUCUUCUUUGCGCCGAUCGCCUCACCCCGCGACACCGAAGUCACCACCGCCGGCUCCUCUUUUCCUGCGCGCCGACGCAGAUCGCCGGCUACUGCCGACUCUAACGCCUUACCCCGACGCACGGAGCCAGUCGUGGUCGUGCCCUAGCAGAGACUUGCCGACGCCAUUGCCGCCAGCGACGCCGAGCGCCUCUGCACAGCGCCGUCGCCGUCCGGAAUUUGUUGCUGGCUUCUCCUCUACCCCACCACCUCUGUGCCCUAGCUUGAAGUCGACGGCCACGGUUUAAUCUCUCCGGUGACCAUUUUUGGUUGCUGUCCUUGCUAUUUCCUAGUGCCGGCAGCCGACCACUUUGCCCUAGAUUCCUUCACACAGUAACCAUAGUGCUCUGCUCACUUUGGUGCCCUAAUUGUGAUCUGGAAGGAAGGGAGGUUUUGUGAUUGUGAAGAUGCUCUUUGGUUCCAGUAGUGCAGAUUCUUGAUUGUGGAUCGAAGGAUAAGGACUGUGAGGUGAAAUUUAGUGCUGUAGAUCAACAAGUGCGGUUGUGAGAUUCUGUUCUGUUCUCUUCUGUGGUGUUCUUGAUUUCAGCUCACUUUGUUCAAGCAACACUCCUUUCCGCCAGUUCCUCUUUGGCUGCUGAUUAAGAACAGAAAUCUGUGAUUUGAGGUCUUUGACGCGAGACGGGUAUCUCGAUUAUUGGAUUGGAAAGCUAUUUUGGAGGCGGGUAC